rnacentral:rRNA from 1 species
AACGAACGUUGGCGGCGUGGAUUAGGCAUGCAAGUCGGGGGAAUCCCAGCAAUGGGGGAACCGGCGUAAGGGGCAGUAAGGCGUGGGUACCUACCCCGGGGUUCGGGAUAGCCGUCCGAGAGGGCGGGUAAUACCGGAUGACCUGGUGACAGCAAAGAUUCAUCGCCCUGGGAGGGGCCCACGUGAUAUUACCUAGUUGGCGGGGUAACGGCCCACCAAGGGGAAGAUGUCUAGCGGGUGUGAGAGCACGACCCGCGCCACUGGCACUGAGACACUGGCCAGACACCUACGGGUGGCUGCAGUCGAGGAUCUUCGGCAAUGAGCGCAAGCUUGACCGAGCGACGCCGCGUGGGCGAUGAAGGCCUUCGGGUUGUAAAGCCCUGUCGGGGAGGAGAAAAGCCGAAAGGUUUGAUCUAUUCCCGGAGGAAGCACGGGCUAAGUUCGUGCCAGCCGCCGCGGUAACAC